rnacentral:rRNA from 1 species
AGAGACAGCAGCCGCCGCGGUAAUACGUAGGUGGCGAGCGUUGUCCGGAAUCAUUGGGCGUAAAGGGAGCGCAGGAGGGCAUGUAAGUCUUUCUUAAAAGUGCGGGGCUCAACCCCGUGAUGGGAAAGAAACUAUGUGUCUUGAGUACAGGAGAGGAAAGCGGAAUUCCCAGUGUAGCGGUGAAAUGCGUAGAUAUUGGGAGGAACACCAGUGGCGAAGGCGGCUUUCUGGACUGCAACUGACGCUGAGGCUCGAAAGCCAGGGGAGCGAACGGGAUUAGAUACCCCAGUAGUCCCUGUCUCUUAUACA